AGAGGAAGGGGCGGCUAAUUCCGUGCCAGCAGCCGCGGUAACACGGAAGCCCCGAGCGUUGUUCGGAUUCAUUGGGCGUAAAGGGUGCGUAGGCGGCGCGGAAAGUCCGGCGUGAAAGGCAGAGGCUCAACCUCUGGACUGCGUUGGAUACUUCCGUGCUUGAGGACUGGAGGGGAGACUGGAAUUCACGGUGUAGCAGUGAAAUGCGUAGAUAUCGUGAGGAAGACCGGUGGCGAAGGCGAGUCUCUGGACAGAUCCUGACGCUGAGGCACGAAGGCUGGGGGAGCGAACAGGAUUAGAUACCCUGGUAGUCCCAGCAGUAAACGAUGUGAGCUUGAUGUGGGGGGAUUCGACCCCUUCCGUGUCGAAGCUAACGCGAUAAGCUCACCGCCUGAGGAGUACGGCCGCAAGGCUAAAACUCAAAGAAAUUGACGGGGACCCGCACAAGCGGUGGAGUAUGUGGCUUAAUUCGAUGCAACGCGAAGAACCUUACCUGGCCUUGACAUGCAUUGUGUCGUCGGUGAAAGCCGGCUAGUCCUGGAAACAGGACGCUUUGCACAGGUGCUGCAUGGCCGUCGUCAGCUCGUGUCGUGAGAUGUUGGGUUAAGUCCCGCAACGAGCGCAACCCUUGUGGUCAGUUACUAACCGGCUUAGCCGGAGGACUCUGGCCAGACUGCCCUGUCAAACGGGGAGGAAGGUGGGGACGACGUCAAGUCAGUAUGGCCCUUAUGGCCAGGGCUGCACACGUACUACAAUGCCCGGUACAAUGUGAACCGAAACCGCGAGGUGGAGGAAAUCGCUCUUGAAAACCGGGCCCAGUUCGGAUUGGAGUCUGCAACUCGACUCCAUGAAGUCGGAAUCGCUAGUAAUGGCGUAUCAGCAACGACGCCGUGAAUACGUUCCCGGGUCUUGUACACACCGCCCGUCACAUCAUGGAAGUCUCCUGUACCCGAAGCACGUGCGCCAACCUUUUAGGAGGCAGCGUUCGAAGG
rnacentral:rRNA from 1 species